rnacentral:rRNA from 1 species
AUUGAACGCUGGCGGCAGGCCUAACACAUGCAAGUCGAGCGAGCGGCGGGCGGGUGAGUAAUGUAGAGGGACUGCCCGAUAGAGAGGGAUAACAACGGGAAAAGAUAGCGAAUACCGCAUUCUAGGGGCUACGGCCUAGGGGAUUAGCUAGUAGGGUGGGUAAUGGCUCACCUAGGCGACGAUCCCUAGCUGGCCUGAGAGGAUGAUCAGCCACACUGGGACUGAGACACGGCCCAGACUCCUACGGAGGCAGCAGUGGGGAAUCUUGCACAAUGGGCGAAAGCCUGAUGCAGCAAUGCCGCGUGUAUGAAGAAGGUCCUAGGGUCGUAAAGUACUUUCAGUAGGGAGGCGUUACCGACAGAGGAAGCACCGGCUAACUCCGUGCCAGCAGCCGCGGUAAUUC